ensembl:lncRNA
AUGUCCCAGUUUGAUAUGUACUCAGUUCUCGAUGUUCCAGUUUAAUAUGUACUCGGUUCUCGAUGUUCCAGUUUGAUAUGUACUCGGUUCUCGAUGUUCCAGUUUGAUAUGUACUCGGUUCUCGAUGUUCCAGUUUAAUAUGUACUCUGUUCUCGAUGUUCCGGUUUGAUAUGUACUCAGUUCUCGAUGUUCCAGUUUAAUAUGUACUCGGUUCUCGAUGUUCCAGUUUAAUAUGUACUCAGUUCUUUAUGUUCCGGUUUGAUAUGUACUCUGUUCUCGAUGUUCCGGUUUGAUAUGUACUCUGUUCUCGAUGUUCCGGUUUGAUAUGUACUCGGUUCUUGAUGUUCCAGUUUGAUAUGUACUCGGUUCUCGAUGUUCCAGUUUGAUAUGUACUCAGUUCUUUAUGUUCCGGUUUAAUAUGUACUCUGUUCUCGAUGUUCCAGUUUGAUAUGUACUCUGUUCUCGAUGUUCUGGUUUGAUAUGUACUCGGUUCUUGAUGUUCCAGUUUGAUAUGUACUCAGUUCUCGAUGUUCCCAGUUUGAUAUGUACUCGGUUCUCGAUGUUCCCGUUUAAUAUGUACUCGGUUCUCGAUGUUCCCAGUUGCCUAUAUUCCCAAAUCUCUAUGGUCCCAGUUCCCAGUAAGCCCAGUUCCAUAUGUUUCCAGUUUGUCUGUCCGCAGUGUCACGUGUUCUCCGUGUUCUCCGUGUUCUCCGUGUUCUCGGGUCGCUCUGUGAACACGCUCGGUGUUUUGGGAGCUUUCAGGUUUCUGAUUUCUUUUCUUUUUUUUCUUUUUUCUUUUUUUCUUUCUCAAUUUCAGCCUCAAAAAACUCCAAAAUUGCAAGAAAGUUUCUGAGCCGUUUGUCCAGAUCGUUAAAAUCUCCUCGGUUCUGGGAAUAAGCCGAGUCGGAUGGAGAGCCUUGAACAAUGUGGAGUUAUUUGUGACUCGGAGCAGUGGAAGUGGAAGCGCGAGGUUAGCAGGCAGUCGGUCAAUGGCAGGAACUUCCCCGUUUUUAGGGCAGGAAGUGUUGUGAUUGAGCCGACAUAACGGACCCUGGAGUUACUUCCUGUGUGUGUGUGUGUGUGUGUGUGUGUGUGUGUGUGUGUGUGUGUGUGUGUGUGCAGUUACACACCGUGUCCAGCAGGUGAGGACAGAGGACACUGAGGGAGAGGAGAUGAAAUGGACUGAUUUGAAUCCCCAAUUCCUAUAUAUAUAGUGUCUUAUAUUUCCAGUUCCCUUUGUUCCCAUUUCUCUACGCCUGCAGUUCCCUAUAUUCCCAGUUCCC